GGCAGGGCGGCGCUUCACCCGACGCUUCAGACGGCCGGCUGCGGGCUCGGGUCUCAGACACCUGGGCCUGGAAGCUCCCUGAGGCAGGGGGUGGGGAAUGAGGUUGUUUAGAGAAGGCAAAGGAGGAGAGAUUCCCUCCCUCCAGCCUAGACACGUUAAUAAUUAACUUGCCUACCCGGGAGCUCGCCGGCGUUGCCAGAAAAGAUGAGUAAUGGCCCUGGAGUCCCGGCCCCGUGCCCGCGGGCUUCUGGGCUCGGGGCUGGGACGGGCCCUGGAACAAAGCCUCCGCAUUCCUCCGGGAAGGCUGUACUUGGAGACCAAUUCUCAAAACAACAAGGCUGCUCCUCGGCGCCCUUCCCGAUGAGUAACCCAAAGCCGGUCGCCGGCUCAAUGAAUUCUCUCCCUGAAACUCCGGCGGCGAGCUGCGGCUCCCACGCGGAUGGCCGGCCGGGGACCCACCGGCUCCCGUCACGCCAGCGCCCAGACACAAAGCACCCCUAGAAGCAGCCUGCGCACCCUGCGCCCUGCCCGCCCCCAAACGGCCCGCAGCCCCCCGAAAGUUCCGACGCGCGUGGACACAC